ACGUCGUGAGACAGUUCGGUCCCUAUCCAUCGUGGGCGUAGGAUAUUUGAGAGGAUUUGUCCCUAGUACGAGAGGACCGGGAUGAACGCACCGAUUGUGCACCUGUUGUCGCUCCAUCGGCAUGGCAGGAUAGCGAAGUGCGGAUUAGAUAAACGCUGAAAGCAUCUAAGCGUGAAACUAACCUCAAGAUUAGAUAUCCCAUAACGUAAGUUAGUAAGACCACUUGAAGACAACAAGUUUGAUAGGUCGGGGGUGUAAGCGCAGUAAUGCGUUGAGCUAACCGAUACUAAUAGGUCGAGGGCUUGAUCUC
rnacentral:rRNA from 1 species